rnacentral:lncRNA from 1 species
GAGUUGUUUACGCCAAAAAAAUUAGAACAAGAAGAGCCAGCCCUUCAUGUCAGUUUCAUGUAAACGCGUGGUGAAAUUCAUCUCGGGGAUGCGAGCCAGCUCGGGUACCCGGGCUGGCUCGCUUCCAUAUAAACAGCCCCUUAGAAGUUGAAGACAUGGGUUUUAUGGUUGGGAAGAGUUCUGCUAAACCCAGUUUGAAGUUACACUUGUUGCGACUUGAAAUGCAGCCGUUGUAUCAAGACGUGAAAAACUGUGAUUUGGCGUAGGGUAAGCAGAGCGAGGACAAUGUCUAAAUUAUUCAUAUAUUGUGAUUUUUCAAUUCUUUCCAAUGAUCUAUUGUAUUGGUAGCCGUUGCCGUCCUAAAAUCGUAAGGUCUCUAAUUUCUUAUUGAUAAUUUCGGACGUGUUUAAUUAACAAUUUGGUCAUAUAGUAAAUUCAAAGAUCAAGCUCAUGCUAGAGUAACUCCGGGUUUGCUGCAGCUGACAAAGUAUUUUGAUUUCAACCCGAAUCAGUAUCAGCCGUAUAUUUAAUUGAGGUUCAGACGUUCUGGCAUUUUAUAUCUCUAUCAUUAAACGCUAAUUUUCCGAGAUACAAUUCUGACCAGGGUUCUGGCUCUUUCCACAAUCAACGUUAUUUGGCAGGCAAAUUUGUGUAUACUUAUGGCUGUUUUUUAUACACGAAUGAUUUAGCUAAAUGUUGAUCCAAACGAUUCCAUUAUCGCCAUCAACAAAAAGUCUUUGAGUAUUAUAAUUAUUUAAUUAUUGCUCUUCAGGUAAUUUUCUGCCUACUUUAUCUUUCGUUAAACAAAUUUUAAAACAAAGGAACUUAUAUACUAGCUGUAUUUAAAUUGUAAAUUAUGAAUUGUGAGUUAGCAACAUCUCAAUUAAUGGCCAUUAAAUAUUAGCAUUAUAAGGCAACUCCUACUGACCUUUUUUAAUAACAUAGGUGUAAAUACUAACAUACAGAAUGAUGCUAACAACUGACAGUUUGUUUAAUUUAAUUUUCUCUUCUCCUUACAUACUCGCUUAUAUUUGAAUGUCCGACCGUUUCUAAUAGUUUGUAAAUAUACAUAUAACGCACUCUCGACUCUCAAGCUUUGUAUUCCUAUUUUCUUCAUCUUUAUUGUUAUUACAUAGUCAUAUGCUGAGCUAUUUAUCUUAACGUUUCUAUGUAUUAACAUGCUGUUUUGGGGAUUUACAGUCAAAAUACAAGAACCUUCCCAUGCAUGCACUUUCGCUUCUGUAACUUGUUUUGUAUUUCUGUAAUUUGUUCUAUUUUUCUGUAGCGACUACCGCUUUAUCGGCAAAUAUCGCGGUAUAGAUCCGGUAGAAUUUCGCGUCCUUCCAUUAUAUAUACGUCACUUUGUAGCAAUCAAUGAAUACACCUUUUCUUAGAUUCUUUGCAUGAAAGUUGCGAAACUUAGAUCUUAUAAAGCGAUAUUUGCUGAUAAAUCAUAUAUAGUGUGUUCAUACUAUACAAAUUAAAAUUACCGACUACCAUGCAUUUGACGUCCUAAAAUCAAAAUUUCGCAACUUUUAUGCAAAAAAUCUGACGCCGAAGGUGUAUCCUAAUUUGCUACAAAUUGACGUAUAUAAAGGAAAGAAAGGGAAAUUCUACCGCGAUAUUUGCCGAUAAAGCGGUAAUCGCUACAGAAAAAUAGAACAAAUUACAGAAAUACAAAACAAGUUACAGAAGCGGAAGUGGGAAGGUUCUUGUAUUUUGACUGUAAUUAUUUGAAUCAAAGUACGCAAAAUGUUCAUAAUAGAAGACGCUUUAGUUGGUAGCUACUCGGUUUAGGAGAGAAUUCCCGCUACUCACCGACCUUUCGACCUUUGUUAUCAUUCAUGGCAACAUGACAAAAUUGUAUUGUGAUUAAUUGUAUUAUUAAAUUAAAAUUGCAUUCCAAAGUUUUGAAAUACAAAUAUUUGACGAAACUCGCCACAAUUGACAUUUUCACUCAGGAACAUAACACGCGUAUACUAUUGAAAUUCUCGUAUAUACCUGCCUUUUGAUCAUUAUAUUAUAUGUAAAAAGCGCUUUAUAAAUUAUUAAAUUAUUAUUAUUAUUAUUAUUAUUAAGGCAUCUCAAGCCCGCAAGAAUUUCUGAAACGCUGGCCUAUAGUACAUGCACACACUGAUAGUAUAAGCUCUGGUCCACCCUUCUCCACCCCUCCCUACUGUCGCUACUAGCUAAAUUACUAAAUGACUUCCUAUAUUAGUCAGGGUCGCAUAUCAUAUAUAUACUAUCGUAUUUUCAACGAAUAAAUCACAGAUCACAAAUCAACGUUCGUUUAACCGUUUGUGUUCCCUUUUAGACGCAUUCUGGUGAUGUGAAGGUAAGGGAAAACAAGGUGAAGAACCGAUCGCUGAGGGUAUCAAUGAAACAAGACAAGACAACUUGAACAACAAUAUAAUUAAAUCCAAGCAUCUGCUUCGUUUUUGUGACUGAGAAAUUCCGCAGUUGUAAACACCAAAACUGCCAGCGUUUGUUUGUGUCUUCCCAGCAAAGAAAAUCCAUAGAAUGUGCUAGAGUGCGCAUAUGUAAUUUCGAGAACACGUUAAGGUGUUUUCAGGGACGUUAUCAAAUUGCUUCGUAUGUCAACUAUGCGAAGAGAAUGUUGACGCAAAGGCUGAGCCGUGUAUUGGGUUUUCUGGCGAUUGUGGCGACCUUUACAUUCAUAUCAUACGUCGGGAUAUACCAAAGAAAUGGGUUAUAUUCGCCAGGUAUGUACUGCAAAUAUG